UCUGCACUCUUAGAACAUUCUGAGCUUUUGUAGGUUUGAGAGGUAUCCUGGAAACUGACCCCAGAUGAAAAUUAAUCCUGCCCAUUUUUAUAGGAAAGCUGUGUUAUAAAAACCCAUGUGUUCAAGGGCAGCUAGGUCCUACCUGAGCCCGCCAAUGCCUCUUGCAGUCUGAAGGCUGUGUUCUCAUUGAGGUCAGCCACGUACUAGGAAGGAGGAUGAGACUACAGGAUGGUCAGGGCAGAUAGCACAUCCUUCAGUCUCCGAUGAAAGAUGCAAAUGAAAACCGCCGUCAUGAAGACAUCUCUGGGGCACAAAAUGGACAAAGCCCCUACCUGUCCAGAGAGUAUAAUCUCCACCCAUGCUGACAAAUAUGGCUGCCAUGAGCCUCAGGUGGCUAUUUACAUUUACACGUAAAUGAAUUUAAAUGAAUUUAAAUUAAAAAUUCAGUGCCACAUUUCAAGUGCUUACUAGUC